GACGAACGCUGGCGGCGUGCUUAACACAUGCAAGUCGAACGGUAAGGCCCUUCGGGGUACACGAGUGGCGAACGGGUGAGUAACACGUGGGUGAUCUGCUCUGCACUUCGGGAUAAGCCUGGAAACUGGGUCUAAUACCGGAUAGGACUCCGGACUGCAUGGUCUGGGGUGGAAAGCUUUUGCGGUGUGGGAUGGGCCCGCGGCCUAUCAGCUUGUUGGUGGGGUGAUGGCCUACCAAGGCGACGACGGGUGGCCGGCCUGAGAGGGUGACCGGCCACACUGGGACUGGGAUACGGCCCAGACUCCUACGGGAGGCAGCAGUGGGGAAUAUUGCACAAUGGGCGCAAGCCUGAUGCAGCGACGCCGCGUGAGGGAUGACGGCCUUCGGGUUGUAAACCUCUUUCAGCAUCGACGAAGCGAAAGUGACGGUAGGUGCAGAAGAAGGACCGGCCAGCUACGUGCCAGCAGCCGCAGUAA
rnacentral:rRNA from 1 species